rnacentral:misc_RNA from 1 species
CAACCCUCAAGCUCCGGCUUGGUGUUGGGGAUCGGCAGCCCGGCUUCGCGCCGACGCCGUCCCCCAAAUGCAGUGGCGGUCACGCUGUAGCUUCCUAUGCGUAGUAGCACACCUCGCACUGGAGAGCAGCGCGGCCACGCCGUAAAACCCCCAACUUUUUGUGG